GAUGAAAAACGUAGUGAAAUGCGAUAAGUAAUGUGAAUUGCAGAAUUCAGUGAAUCAUCGAAUCUUUGAACGCACAUUGCGCCCCCUGGUAUUCCGGGGGGCAUGCCUGUUCGAGCGUCAUUUCACCACUCAAGCCUCGCUUGGUAUUGGGCAACGCGGUCCGCCGCGUGCCUCAAAUCGACCGGCUGGGUCUUCUGUCCCCUAAGCGUUGUGGAAACUUUCGCUAAAGGGUGUUCGGGAGGCUACGCCGUAAAACAACCCCAUUUCUAAGGUUGACCUCGGAUCAGGUAGGGAUACCCGCUGAACUUAAGCAUAUCAAUAAGCGGAGGA
rnacentral:misc_RNA from 1 species